UACGUAGGGGGCAAGCGUUGUCCGGAUUUAUUGGGCGUAAAGAGCGUGUAGGCGGCCAAGCAGGUCCGCUGUGAAAACUCGAGGCUCAACCUCGAGACGUCGGUGGAAACCGUUUGGCUAGAGUCCGGAAGAGGAGAGUGGAAUUCCCGGUGUAGCGGUGAAAUGCGUAGAUAUCAGGAGGAACACCGGCGGCGAAGGCGGCCCUCUGGCUCGUUGCUGACGCUGAAACGCGAAAGCGUGGGGAGCAAACAGG
rnacentral:rRNA from 1 species